ACUUCUGAGGAUGGAUUCCCUAUUCAAGCUGAUUUUGGUUAUUCUACUCGUAUUUCAUGUUCAACCAAAAUGUGAUGGCAGUUCCAAUACCCUGGAAGAAUAUUCUUUGAUGAACAUUAAGGAUUGAAUUGAUUCGUCAAUUUCAAGUGGACAAUAUCAACGUUUGAAAAAGGAAAGAAGACUCAAAGAUUAUAUCAAAUUUAUACGAAAGCAACUCAAAAAAUCAAAAUGGAAAACAAUGGAAAAACAACGCAUAUAUGACAUCGCAGCAUUCAUCUGUUUAUGCGGCCUCAUUCAGGAAUUCAUUCAUGAAGUGUAUGAAGAGGCUCAGAUUUUCCUACACCCCAACACUUACAAAUGCCCGAUAACUUGGAGAAAAUACAUCGCGCAAUCUAACCAUUCGGUUUGUGUAAAAUUAAGGGGCUCCAAUGAUGAACCUGGAUUGCUGUUGUCAUCAAAAUACAACCACAAUUUUGGACGAGCUCUUUGUUCAGCAUACAAGGUGGGUUUCAGACAUAUAAACUGCGACCCAACCACAGUAGAAGUGCUCUCAAAGUUGAAACGAGAAACAUCGAAGACCAUAGUUGAAAUACUUAAAGUAGAAGAUCGAUUGAACCUAUUAAUUUCCGAAGAAAUAGAUUACAUUAACAUGUUUAUGACUGCUUUGGGAAGAACCCCCUUCCCUUAUCUAAUCUAUUCUUACCAUGGUCUGGAAUUCGCUGUUCCUAAACUGCCAGAUAAUUCAGAUAUAAAGUUAUGCUCUGGUUAUCUUCCUGAAUCACUUGUUCAAAGUUUGACGUGAUCAUUACUCGAAAUUGAAGGGUACAGGAAUGUCACUGACCUACCCAGCUCUAUUUUUUCCUGAAAAUCUCAACGUUUGUCUUAAAAUCUUUGUUUUUUAAAAUUAAAAGAUCGAGUUUUUGCUUAAAAAGUUGUGUUUUUGUUACCAUUGCAAAAAAUUUUCGUUUUCUGGCCAAAUUUUACCAUAAAAAAUUUUAAAAUUUUGAUAAAAAUCA